AGUUUGAUCCUGGCUCAGGAUGAACGCUGGCGGCGUGCCUAAUACAUGCAAGUCGAACGAAUCUCUUUUAGAGAUGAGUGGCGAACGGGUGAGUAAUACAUAGGUAACCUGCCCCUGUGCGGGGGAUAACAGGAGGAAACUCCUGCUAAUACCGCAUAGCCAUGAGCACCGCACGGAGCUCAUGCCAAAUAUCCUUUAUGGGAUAGCGCAGGGAUGGACCUAUGGCGCAUUAGCUGGUUGGCGGGGCAACGGCCCACCAAGGCAACGAUGCGUAGCCGGCCUGAGAGGGCGGACGGCCACAUUGGGACUGAGACACGGCCCAGACUCCUACGGGAGGCAGCAGUAGGGAAUUUUCGGCAAUGGGGGAAACCCUGACCGAGCAACGCCGCGUGAGCGAAGAAGGCCUUCGGGUCGUAAAGCUCUGUUGUAAAGGAAGAACGGCGCAUACAGGAAAUGGUAUGCGAGUGACGGUACUUUACCAGAAAGCCACGGCUAACUACGUGCCAGCAGCCGCGGUAAUACGUAGGUGGCGAGCGUUAUCCGGAAUCAUUGGGCGUAAAGAGGGAGCAGGCGGCCGCAAGGGUCUGUGGUGAAAGACCGAAGCUAAACUUCGGUAAGCCAUGGAAACCGGGCGGCUAGAGUGCGGAAGAGGAUCGUGGAAUUCCAUGUGUAGCGGUGAAAUGCGUAGAUAUAUGGAGGAACACCAGUGGCGAAGGCGACGGUCUGGGCCGCAACUGACGCUCAUUCCCGAAAGCGUGGGGAGCAAAUAGGAUUAGAUACCCUAGUAGUCCACGCCGUAAACGAUGGUCACUAAGUGUCGGGGGUCAAACCCCGGUGCUGCAGUCAACGCAAUAAGUGACCCGCCUGAGUAGUACGUUCGCAAGAAUGAAACUCAAAGGAAUUGACGGAAGGGCG
rnacentral:rRNA from 1 species